CCCGAGCCGAGCGUGUUUCAGGUCAAGCUCUUCGAGCCGAGGGAGGUGCGUCCCGAUCCAGUGCGGGAGUGGGGAUGGAUCUAGGUCGUUGUAAGACAUGUUGAAAAGGGUUAGGUCGGAGAGAGCACGGAGCUCGCUCGGU
rnacentral:SRP_RNA from 12 species